UACGUAGGGACCGAGCGUUGUCCGGAAUCAUUGGGCGUAAAGAGCGUGUAGGCGGCCACUUAAGUCCUGCGUGAAAUCUUGCGGCUCAACCGCAAGCGGUCGUGGGAAACUGGCAGGCUAGAGUGCGGGAGAGGAGAGUGGAAUUCCUGGUGUAGCGGUGAAAUGCGCAGAUAUCAGGAAGAACACCGGUGGUGUAGACGGCUUUCUGGACCGACACUGACGCUGAGACACGAAAGCGUGGGUAGCAAACAGG
rnacentral:rRNA from 1 species